UGCUGGUAUCAAGCAACACAUUGCAGUGCUGUAGGAGUAUCCUAUAUUGCAAGAUGAUGAAUAUAUUUCGACAUUAUUUGGUUCAGUACCUGCAAGAAAGUGCCCCUCAAAUACAAGACGUCGCAAAUACCAGAGCGCUAUGGUUGCUUGGGAUAGUUCAGUCGCAGUAUUCUGAGAGUUAUUCAUCAUAUCCAUUCGUUAUACAACAAUAUAUUUUGAAGAGUUAGACGUCAGUGUUCUACAGAAGCUUGUGGUAGCUCAAUACAAGUAUUUUGAGCGUUUUGCAUCACAUCUAUUCACCAUACAACAAUAUUUUUGACGAAUGGUUGUUUCUAUAUAUGAC